rnacentral:rRNA from 1 species
UACAGAGGGUGCUAGCGUUGUUCGGAAUCAUUGGGCGUAAAGGGCGUGUAGGCGGUUUGCUAAGUCAUGUGUGAAAUCCCUCGGCUUAACCGGGGAACGACGCAUGAAACUGGCAAGCUAGAGUACCAAAGAGGGGGGUGGAAUUCCCGGUGUAGCGGUGAAAUGCGUAGAUGUCGGGAGGAACACCUGUGGCGAAGGCGGCCCCCUGGUUGGAUACUGACGCUGAUACGCGAAAGCGUGGGGAGCAAACAGG